AGUGAACGCUGGCGGCAGGCCUAACACAUGCAAGUCGAACGGCAGCACAGUAAGAGCUUGCUCUUACGGGUGGCGAGUGGCGGACGGGUGAGGAAUACAUCGGAAUCUACUUUUUCGUGGGGGAUAACGUAGGGAAACUUACGCUAAUACCGCAUACGACCUACGGGUGAAAGCAGGGGAUCUUCGGACCUUGCGCGAUUGAACGCGCCGAUGUCGGAUUAGAUAGUUGGGGGGGUAAAGGCCCACCCAGGCGGCGAUCCGUAGCCGGUCUGAGAGGAUGGUCGGCCGCACUGGAGCUGGGACACGGACCAUGCUCCUACGGGAGGCAGCAGUGGGGAAUAUUGGGCAGUGGGCGCGAGCCUGGUCCAGCCAUACCGCGUGGGUGAAAGAGGCCUUCGGGUUGUAAAGCCCUUUUGUUGGGAAAGAAAAGCAGCAGGUUAAUACGCCGCUGUUCUGACGGUACCCAAAGAAUAAGCACCGGCUAACUUCGUG
rnacentral:rRNA from 1 species